CAGUCGCCGCGGUAAAACGAGGGGUGCAAGCGUUAUUCGGAUUGAUUGGGUGUAAAGGGUGUGCAGACGGCUUAUUAAGUCACUUGUUAAAUUCUUCGGCCUAACUGAAGGUCUGCAAGUGAUAAUGAUGAGCUAGAGGGUGGAAGAGAGAAGUGGAAUUCUCGGAGUAGCGGUAAAAUGCGUAGAUCCCGAGAGGAACACCAAUGGCGAAGGCAGCUUCUUGGUCCAUUCCUGACGUUCAUACACGAAAGCGUGGGGAGCAAAUGGGAUUAGAUACCCGCGUAGUCCCUGUCUCUUAUAC
rnacentral:rRNA from 1 species